rnacentral:rRNA from 2 species
GGUGUAGCGGUGAAAUGCGUAGAGAUCUGGAGGAAUACCGGUGGCGAAGGCGGCCCCCUGGACGAAGACUGACGCUCAGGUGCGAAAGCGUGGGGAGCAAACAGGAUUAGAUACCCUGGUAGUCCACGCCGUAAACGAUGUCGACUUGGAGGUUGUGCCCUUGAGGCGUGGCUUCCGGAGCUAACGCGUUAAGUCGACCGCCUGGGGAGUACGGCCGCAAGGUUAAAACUCAAAUGAAUUGACGGGGGCCCGCACAAGCGGUGGAGCAUGUGGUUUAAUUCGAUGCAACGCGAAGAACC